rnacentral:rRNA from 1 species
GAUGAACGCUGGCGGCGUGCCUAAUACAUGCCAGUCGAGCGAACGGACGAGAAGCUUGCUUUUCUGAUGUUAGCGGCGGACGGGUGAGUAACACGUGGAUAACCUACCUAUAAGACUGGGAUAAUUUCGGGAAACCGGAGCUAAAACCGGAUAAUAUUUUGAACCGCAUGGUUCAAAAGUGAAAGACGGUCUUGCUGUCACUUAUAGAUGGAUCCGCGCUGCAUUAGCUAGUUGGUAAGGUAACGGCUUACCAAGGCAACGAUGCAUAGCCGACCUGAGAGGGUGAUCGGCCACACUGGAACUGAGACACGGUCCAGACUCCUACGGGAGGCAGCAGUAGGGAAUCUUCCGCAAUGGGCGAAAGCCUGACGGAGCAACGCCGCGUGAGUGAUGAAGGUCUUCGGAUCGUAAAACUCUGUUAUUAGGGAAGAACAUAUGUGUAAGUAACUGUGCACAUCUUGACGGUACCUAAUCAGAAAGCCACGGCUAACUACGUG